CCUACGUGGGGCAGCAGUGAGGAAUAUUGGUCAAUGGGCGGAAGCCUGAACCAGCCAAGUCGCGUGAGGGAAUAAGGCCCUACGGGUCGUAAACCUCUUUUGCCGGGGAGCAAGGGCGGGGACGUGUCCCGGCCCGGAGAGUACCCGGAGAAAAAGCAUCGGCUAACCCCGUGCCAGCAGCCGCGGUAAUAAGGAGGAUGCGAGCGUUAUCCGGAGUUAGUGGGUUUAAAGGGUGCGUAGGCGGUUGGAUAAGGUAGAGGUGAAAUCCCCGGGCUCAACGUCGGAAUUGCCUCUGAUACUUUUCGGCUAGAGAGUAGGUGCGGUAGGCGGAAUUCGUGGUGUAGCGGUGAAAUGCUUAGAUAUCACGAAGAACUCCGAUUGCGAUGGCAGCUUACUAAACUGCCACUGACAUUGAUGCUCGAAAGUGUGGGUAUCAAACAGGAUUAGAUACCCGGGUAGUC
rnacentral:rRNA from 1 species